UGUUUAGAAUAAAUGAUUUAAAGUUUCCUAAGGUUUAUAGCUUAAAAUUUUAGAUUAAUCGUUCUUUUGGGUUUUUAUGGUUUAACAGUUAAGUCUUUCUUAGGGUUUUUAGGUAUAAUGGUUUAGAUCUUAUGGUUUUUACGUAUUUUAAAUGGGUUUUAGGGUUAAUUUUAAUGUUUAUAAAAUUUAGGGUUUCUUAAGAUUAAGGAUUUAGUAUUUCUUAGGGUUUUAGGUUAUAGAUUUAGAGAUUUUGGUUAGGGUUUAGUGUCUAUGGAUUAAGAUAUUUUUAGAUUUGGGUUUUUUUAUUUAGGGUUUUAGUUUAGUUUUUAGGUUUUUGGUCUUAUGUUUUCUAGGUUAUGCUUCUUCAGGAUUUUAUAGGUUAGGGUUUAGAUUUUUUGUGUGAGUGUUUUUAGGAAUUAGCAUAUACAAUUUGUGGAUUUAUAAGGUUUAUUGCUUAAAGUUUUUUAGGUUUAUAUGUUUUGUGGGUUAAGUGUUCCGUAGGAGUUUUUAGGGUUUAGGGUUUAGUGCUUUGAGAUUUUUUCUGUUUUUAGGUUUAAGGUUUAGAGCUUAGGGUUUUUUAAUGGAGUUUAGGUUUUUCUUAGGGUUUCUUAGGGGUUUAGAUUAAGGAUUUAGGGUUUAAGGCUAGGUUUAAGUCUUAUAGCAUAGGGUUUUUUUGGGUUUAUAAGGUCUUAUGUAAGGGUAUGUCAAGGUUUUUAGGGUCUAGGGCUGUGGGUUUUCUGGGGUAAGGUUUUCAAGAUUUUUAUAUGUUUAGGAAUUCGGGGGUAUAUAGGGUUUUUAGGGUUAAGUGUUUCUUAAGGUUUAGGAAUUAGGGUUCUUUUUUUAAUUUAUGGUUUAUAGAUUUUUAGGAUUUUAGGUUUAGUGAUUAGCAUUUUAAAAUGUUUUUUUAUGGUUUAUUUUAAGGUUUAUAGGAUUUAGGGUUUCUUAAGGUUUAGGGUUUAGUGCUUCUUAGGGUAUUAGACUAUUAGGUUAGUGUUUUGUAUCUAGGACGUAGGCGUUUUUUAGUUUAGGGUUUUAGGUUAAUGGUCUUAUUUAAGUAUUUAGGGUUUAGGUACUUGGGUUUUUUGCAUAAAGAUAUUUUAGGGUUUUAUAGGUUAAGGUUGAUGGAGAUUUAUCUUUUUUUUUGUAGGGUAUAAUACAUAAUAUUUAGGGAUUUAUAAGGUUUUGAUCUUAGAGUUCUUUAUGUUUAUUGGGUUUUACGGGAUAAAUGUUUCUUUGGGAUAUUUUUUAUUUUUUAGGUUCUUGGUUUAUAGAUUAUUAGGAUUUCGGGUUUAGAACAUAGGGGUUUGAAAUGGUUUUUGGGUUUUAAUUUAAGGCUUCUAGGAUUUAUGGAUUAGAGAUUAGGGUUUUUAAUGGAUUUUACGUUUUAAUUUAAGGUUGAUAGGAUUUAUGGUUUCUUAGGGUUUAAGGUGUAAAAUUUAGGGUUUAAGGUUAGGGUUAAAGAUUUUGAAAUUAAGGUUUUUUGGCUAAAGGGUCUUAGGUUAAGGGUUUUUUUCUAGGUUGGUAGGGUUUAGGGCUUUGAGUUUUAGGUUAUGGUUUUUUAUAGUUCUAUAGGUUUAGGGUUUUGGGGUUUUUUUAGACAUUUUAAGGGUUAAGGGUUUCUUAGGGUUUAGGGCUUAGGGUUUUUGUGUUUUUGGGUUAAGGGUUUAUGGAUUUAAAGCAUUUAGGGUUUAAAGCUUACGGUUUUGUAGGGGUAUUGAGUGGUUUAUUUCUGUUUACUUUAGAGUUUUUAGGAUUUAGGAUUUCGUAACUUAUAGGGUUUAUGGUUUCUUAGGGUUUUAGGUUAAGCAUUUUGGGUUUUAUUUUAGAGUUUUUAGGAUUUAGAGUUUCGUAACUUAUAGGAUUUAGGGUUUCUUAGAGUUUUAGGUUUAGCAUUUUUGGUUUUAGGUUAGGAUUAGGGUUUAGGAUAUUUUUUGUAUACCAUGUUUGUUUAAUGGAUUUAUCUAGGUUUUUAGGGUUUAGGUGUAACAACCUGUUUAGUAGGUUCGAGAAGUAAA